ensembl:lncRNA
UAUAAUUAAUAACAUUAAUUUUUUUAAUUAAAUGUUAUAUUUCAAAUGUAAUAAUAAUAUUGUUCAAUUAAACAAUGCUACUUUUUGUCCUCAGCCAAACCGAUUCGUCCAGGACAUAACCCCGCCUCCUUAUCAGCCAAUCACAUGUUCACGCGCAGCAGGGAUCAGCCAAUCACGUUCAGCAACGAGAUGUUCACCAGCGCCACUGAAAAACCCCAGUCCAGUUUCACCAGCGAAUCCAGUGAAGAACAUGAAGCCGUCUGCUCCGUCGUAUAACCUCAGACUCUGAAUGAGCUUCCACUGCAGAAGACAAACACCGUUCCUGCCAGAACAUUUCAGGAACAUCUUCAUUUAACUUCUUCUUUGCAAGGGUUUUCAGUCUUUUAGAUUUUAGGGCAACAAAUGUGGGUUUUUUAGUGACUUAAACCAUUUUUCACAAGCCUUCAUAGCAAUUAGUUCCUAUAGUACAAUAUCACUCUUUUUUAAUGUAAUAAUUAUUAGGAAUAAGGAAAAAUAGACAGUGAAUAAAUCGAAAUAAUUUAAUAUAAUUUCA